rnacentral:rRNA from 1 species
AACGAACGCUGGCGGCAGGCUUAACACAUGCAAGUCGAACGCCCCGCAAGGGGUGUGGCCGACGGGUGAGUAACGCGGGGGAACAUACCCUUUCCUGCGGAAUAGCUCCGGGAAACUGGAAUUAAUACCGCAUACGCCCUACGGGGGAAAGAUUUAUCGGGGAAGGAGUGGCCCGCGUGGGAUUAGCCAGUUGGUGGGGUAAAGGCCUACUAAGGCGACUAUCGAUAGAUGGGCUGAGAGGAAGAUCAGCCACAUUGGGACUGAGACACGGCGCAAACUCCUACGCGAGGCAGCAGUGGGGAAUAUUGGCAAAUGGGGGGUAGCAAGAAGCACCCAUGACGGGUGAGUGAUGAAGGCCUUAGGGUUGUAAAGCUCUUUAACAGAUGACGAUAAUGACGGUAGUAGGAGAAGAAGCACCGGCUAACUUCGUG